GUUUUUUUUUUUUUUAUAAUUUUUUAAUUGGUUUUUCACAUUUUAUAAAGACAUAACACACACGUAAAAGACAAAGACAAAAAACAUGUAUAAUUUCAAAAAUCUUACUUUCUUAACUUUGGUCCUUGACUUCCCCCAACCCCCCCUUCAUACAUCCCAAUUCCCAUAAUUAUGUCAGCAAGUUAUUAUUUUACCUCCUUACCCUGUUAAUAUUACAUCUUUUGUAGAAGAUUAAAUUCUAUCCUAAGUUGGGCUCAGAUUCCCUUCCAUCGAUUUCCCAUUUUUAUUAAGCAUCAAUCAUAUUGACUAGACCCAAAAAUCGUAAGUGUUUUUAAAAUUCUAUUUUCCCCCCCUCCCAUCCCCGGUUCGUCCCUUCCCAAGUACAUUUCUACAAUAACAGUUCUUAGCCUGGAUUUCUCACAUCCGAGGCCUUCAAGUCUCUUUCAGUCCCUCUCCGCCGGUUUUGUUGGUAGUCCUUUAUGUUGGUCUUCGGAUCUCGAAGGAGUUCUGUCCCAGUCAAGCCAGAUUUUCUUCCCACAAGAAAACUUAGAGACAACUGCUGCAAAAGUUCCACCAGUCCUUCAUAUUCAGAAUGGAGGCCCCCAUCAUAUUUCUUCUUUCUUUUAAGUUCUUGAAUUCCAAGUACUCCAGGGGCCUCCUCCUUCAUCUUUCGCAUCUUUUGCAGAUUUGUAAUCCAUGUAAUCCAAGGGUCUUCUUGUUUAUAAUCCACAUGUGUAGGCUUCUGGUUGGUACUUUCCAUCUGUGCUUUCUCCUUUCCUUGUUUAGUCUCCUUCAAUUCUUGAGAUAUCUGUUCCGGUUCAGCUGCAGAUUUUUCUCAUUCAGAUCCUCAAUACAUUCAGCAGAGCUGCUUAUUCCAGAAGUCAAGGUCGUAAGUUGUUUAUUCAUAGCCAGACUCUGCUCUUGUAAAGUUCCCACAAAGUAACACAUUCUUUCUAUUUCAGCUAGUAAAUUUCCAUCCGCAGCCAUUGUAAUGUCUCAGAAUUCCCCCUAGAGGGAAUCUGGUUACUUAGUAAUCUUUUCCCAACAGUCCUUUGCCUCGUUCUUUGUUUCUUUGUUUCGAACCACUUUAAUUCAAUUGUAUCACAUUUAGUCCAGGGAGAUCUUAAAUAACACGCUUUUUACUUUAAAUUGCCCGUUUGACAGCUUUAACAGCUGUCAAACUCCUUUCCUCUUCAACAGGCUCAAAGGCAGGACGCUCCCGGGCCCGGAAGGGGGGGGUUACACACCAC